rnacentral:rRNA from 1 species
GUGUCAGCAGCCGCGGUAAUACGAAGGUGGCAAGCGUUGUUCGGAUUCACUGGGCGUACAGGGAGCGUAGGCGGUUGGGUAAGCCCUUCGUGAAAUCUCCGGGCCUAACCCGGAAAGUGCGUAGGGGACUGCUUGGCUAGAGGAUGGGAGAGGAGCGCGGAAUUCCCGGUGUAGCGGUGAAAUGCGUAGAGAUCGGGAGGAAGGCCGGUGGCGAAGGCGGCGCUCUGGAACAUUUCUGACGCUGAGGCUCGAAAGCGUGGGGAGCAAACAGGAUUAGAUACCCUGGUAGUCCACGCCCUAAACGAUGAGUGCUGGAUAUUGGAGACUUGAUCUUCAGUGUCGCUAGGUAACCCGGUAAGCACUCCGCCUGGGCAGUACGCUCGCAAGAGUGAA